AGGUGUGAGGGCGAUCUGGCUGUGACAUCUGCCACCCCUUUGAUGGCCAGGAUUCAUUCAGCUGAUCUGGAUGUCUAGGCAUGUGUCCCCUUCCUUUCUCACCACUCCAAGUGUGCCCCUCCCAAAGCUGUGUGCUCGAUUGAAGAGGAUGAUCUAAUUCCUUAUUACUCAAAGUGUGGUUUGGGGAACGACCCUAUGAGCAUUACAUUCAGAAACUUGUUAGAAACUAGAAGCCUCAGAGUCCUUCU
rnacentral:sRNA from 1 species